rnacentral:rRNA from 1 species
CACGGGUGAGUAAUACGUAGGAACGUACCUUAUGGUGGGGAAUAACCACGGGAAACUGUGGCUAAUACCGCGUAAGUUCGAAAGAAGAUAGGUGGCCUCUCCUUGGAAGCUACCGUCGUUAGAUCGGCCUACGUCCCAUUAGCUAGUUGGCAGGGUAAUGGCCUACCAAGGCUACGAUGGGUAGCUGGUCUGAGAGGACGAUCAGCCACACUGGAACUGAGACACGGUCCAGACUCCUACGGGAGGCAGCAGUGGGGAAUCUUGCACAAUGGGCGCAAGCCUGAUGCAGCAACGCCGCGUGAGUGAAGAAGGCUCUUGGGUUGUAAAGCUCUUUCGGCUGGGAAGAAGGGUGUGCGGGCUAAUAAAACGUACAUUUGACGGUACCAGAAGAAGAAGCACCUGCUAACUACGUGCCAGCAGCAGCGGUAAUACGUAGGGUGCGAGCGUUGUUCGGAAUAACUGGGCGUAAAGGGCGCGUAGGCGGAUCUAUAAGUCGUAUGUGAAAUCCCUGGGCUCAACCCGGGUCUGGCAUACGAAACUGUGGAUCUUGAAUGCCUGAGGGGGUAAUGGAAUUCUAGGUGUAGGAGUGAAAUCCGUAGAUAUCUAGAGGAACAUCGGAGGCGAAGGCGGUUACCUGGCAGGACAUUGACGCUGAGGCGCGAAAGCAUGGGGAGCAAACAGGAUUAGGUACCCUGGUAGUCCAUGCCAUAAACGAUGGAUACUUGGUGUUUGAGGUUUUAAUUCCUUAAGUACCGAAGCUAACGCAUUAAGUAUCCCGCCUGGGAAGUACGGUCGCAAGAUUAAAACUCAAAGGAAUUGACGGGGGCCCGCACAAGCGGUG